rnacentral:rRNA from 1 species
UACGGAGGAUCCAAGCGUUAUCCGGAUUUAUUGGGUUUAAAGGGUGCGUAGGUGGGUCUGUAAGUCCGUGGUGAAAUCUCCGAGCUUAACUUGGAAACUGCCAUGGAUACUAUAGGUCUUGAAUACUGUGGAGGUCAGCGGAAUAUGUCAUGUAGCGGUGAAAUGCUUAGAUAUGACAUAGAACACCAAUUGCGAAGGCAGCUGGCUACACAAAUAUUGACACUGAUGCACGAAAGCGUGGGGAUCAAACAGG